rnacentral:rRNA from 1 species
GACAGAGGAUGCAAGCGUUGUCCGGAAUUAUUGGGCGUAAAGAGCUCGUAGGCGGUUUGUUGCGUCGGCUGUGAAAUCCCGAGGCUCAACCUCGGGUCUGCAGUCGAUACGAGCAAACUAGAGUGUUGCAGGGGAGACUGGAAUUCCUGGUGUAGCGGUGAAAUGCGCAGAUAUCAGGAGGAACACCGGUGGCGAAGGCGGGUCUCUGGGCAACAACUGACGCUGAGGAGCGAAAAGCGUGGGGAGCGAACAGG